rnacentral:rRNA from 1 species
CAGCCUGCCAGUGACUACAAGUUCAACGGCCGCGGUAUUUUGACCGUGCAAAGGUAGCGCAAUCACUUGUCUUUUAAAUAGAGACCUGUAUGAAUGGCUAAACGAGGGCUUAACUGUCUCCCCUUUCCAGUCAGUGAAAUUGAUCUGCCCGUGCAGAAGCGGACAUAAAAAUACAAGACGAGAAGACCCUUUGGAGCUUAAGGUACAAAACUCAACCACGUCAAGCAACUUAAUAAAAAGCAAAAACUUUGUGGAACAUGAGAUUUUACCUUCGGUUGGGGCGACCACGGAGGAAAACAAAGCCUCCAAGUGGAUUGGGAAAACCUCCUAAAACCAAGAGAGACAUCUCUAAGCCACAGAACAUCUGACCAAACAUGAUCCGGCUGCCCGAAGCCGAUCAACGAACCAAGUUACCCUAGGGAUAACAGCGCAAUCCUCUCCCAGAGUCCAUAUCGACGAGGGGGUUUACGACCUCGAUGUUGGAUCAGGACAUCCUAAUGGUGCAGCCGCUAUUAAGGGUUCGUUUGUUCAACGAUUAAAGUCCUACGUGAUCUGAGUCC